UAGUCUCGCACAGAUGCAUAUCAAUAAGCGGAGGAAAAGAAACUAACAAGGAUUCCCUUAGUAACGGCGAGUGAAGCGGGAAGAGCUCAAAUUUGAAAUCUUCAAGGUUUUACCUUGACGAAUUGUAGUUUAAAGAAGUGUUUUCUGUUGAAGUUUUGGUAAAAGUUCUUUGGAAUAGGACAUCAUAGAGGGUGAGAAUCCCGUAUUUGACCAUUAUUUUCAGCUGUGUGAUACACUUUCAAAGAGUCGGAUUGUUUGGGAAUGCAGUCCAAAAUGGGUGGUAAAUUUCAUCUAAAGCUAAAUAUUGGCGAGAGACCGAUAGCGAACAAGUACCGUGAGGGAAAGAUGAAAAGAACUUUGAAAAGAGAGUUAAACAGUACGUGAAAUUGUCAAAAGGGAAGCGUUUGACACCAGUGUUGUUUUCUCGAAAAUCAAUUAAAAGAAGUUAGAUUUGUUAAGUGUAUUAGACCUUAUCAGCUAUGCAUUUCAAGUUUCUUGAGCUUUCUUUAAUGCACUUUUCAGUUAACAAGUCAACAUCAAUUUCUUUUGCUGUAAAAAAGCUUGAGGAAGGUGGCUUGAGAUUCGUCUUAAGUGUUUAUAGCCUCUUGCCUAUGCAGUCGGAGAGAUUGAGGUCUGCAGCGUAGAUCCUUCGGGGCUAAAUGCAUUUAGGCUAAGUUAUAGCAUUUUUAUAGACAACUUGUUGACUAUGAUUAGUCUUGUAGCUUACUCGCUUAUGCUAUUUUACCUACGCUUAGGAUGUUGAGCGCAUGUCUCUCUCU
rnacentral:rRNA from 1 species